UAGCAUAUCAAUAAGCGGAGGAAAAGAAACCAACAGGGAUUGCCCUAGUAACGGCGAGUGAAGCGGCAAUAGCUCAAAUUUGAAAUCUGGCCUUCGGGUCCGAGUUGUAAUUUGUAGAGGAUGCUUUUGGUGCGGUGCCUUCCGAGUUCCCUGGAACGGGACGCCUUAGAGGGUGAGAGCCCCGUACGGUUGGACACUAAGCCUCUGUAAAGCUCCUUCGACGAGUCGAGUAGUUUGGGAAUGCUGCUCUAAAUGGGAGGUAAAUUUCUUCUAAAGCUAAAUAUUGGCCAGAGACCGAUAGCGCACAAGUAGAGUGAUCGAAAGAUGAAAAGCACUUUGAAAAGAGGGUUAAAUAGCACGUGAAAUUGUUGAAAGGGAAGCGUUUGCGACCAGACCUUUUCCUGGCGGAUCAUCCGGUGUUCUCACCGGUGCACUUCGCCAGGUUUAGGCCAGCAUCGGUUUCCGCAGAGGGAUAAAAGCUCUGGGAACGUAGCUCCUUCGGGAGUGUUAUAGCCCUCUGCAUAAUACCUUUGUGGGGACCGAGGACCGCGCUUCGGCAAGGAUGCUGGCGUAAUGGUCGUCAACGACCCGUCUUGAAACACGGACCAAGGAGUCGAACAUUUGUGCGAGUGUUUGGGUGUUAAACCCUCACGCGUAAUGAAAGUGAACGGAGGUGAGAGCCUUUACGGGUGCAUCAUCGACCGAUCCUGAUGUCUUCGGAUGGAUUUGAGUAAGAGCAUAACUGUUCGGACCCGAAAGAUGGUGAACUAUGCGUGGAUAGGGUGAAGCCAGAGGAAACUCUGGUGGAGGCUCGCAGCGGUUCUGACGUGCAAAUCGAUCGUCAAAUCUGCGCAUGGGGGCGAAAGACUUAUCGAACCAUCUAGUAGCUGGUUACCGCCGA
rnacentral:rRNA from 1 species